CGGGUGGGGAGGCGGGGCGACGUUACGAGUCGUCAAUGGGAAGAGCUUUAGCCGCCAUUUUAAGCUUGGGGUUUUUGUGGUUCUUUUCCCCUCGUUCCCUCUUUCCUUUCUAGUCGACAGAAAGGACGGUGGCUGAGGCCAAACCAGUACGGGCGCCUCAUUCUGCACCUUCUUUCCCUUCUGCAGUAUUACCCGCGACAAAAGAGUUGAACUAUGUCCGCUAACAGGAACCUGAAGCAAGUGAAGAUUGAGAACAACUCCCCAGCGGCUGCUCCGCCGAUGAGCAUGGUGGGCGGCGGUAGCAUGAAAGGGCUGCGGGGUCUGGAGCAGCCGCCGGAGAACGAAGUGGUGGCGGCAGCCAUGGUGAUUGGGAAGGACGAAGAGGAGCAAAGCGAAUGCGGCUUCACCGUCGACAUCAAGAGCUUCUUGAAGCCAGGCGAAAAGAGCUACACGCAGCGUUGCCGCCUCUUUGUGGGGAACUUACCCACCGACAUCACCGAGGAGGAUUUCAAGCGCCUUUUCGAGCGCUAUGGAGAGCCCAGCGAGGUCUUUAUUAACCGGGACCGCGGCUUCGGCUUCAUCCGCCUGGAAUCCAGGACUCUGGCUGAAAUUGCAAAGGCAGAACUUGAUGGAACUAUUUUGAAGAGCAGACCACUCCGAAUUCGAUUUGCUACUCAUGGAGCUGCUUUAACAGUAAAGAAUCUUUCACCUGUUGUUUCUAAUGAGCUUCUGGAACAAGCGUUCUCUCAAUUUGGCCCUGUGGAAAGAGCUGUUGUUGUUGUAGAUGAUCGUGGUAGAGCAACAGGAAAAGGCUUUGUAGAGUUUGCUGCAAAACCUCCAGCACGUAAAGCUCUAGAAAGAUGCAGUGAUGGAGCAUUCUUGCUGACAACAACCCCUCGGCCAGUUAUUGUAGAACCUAUGGAGCAAUUUGAUGAUGAAGAUGGGUUGCCUGAGAAAUUAAUGCAAAAAACACAACAAUAUCAUAAGGAAAGAGAACAGCCACCACGGUUUGCCCAACCUGGAACAUUUGAAUUUGAGUAUGCUUCACGAUGGAAGGCUCUUGAUGAAAUGGAAAAGCAACAGCGGGAACAAGUUGAUAGAAACAUUAGAGAAGCUAAGGAGAAACUGGAGGCAGAGAUGGAAGCAGCUCGACAUGAGCAUCAAUUAAUGCUGAUGAGACAAGAUCUUAUGAGGCGUCAGGAAGAACUGAGACGGUUGGAAGAACUGAGAAAUCAGGAGCUACAGAAACGAAAGCAAAUACAAAUGAGACAUGAAGAAGAACAUAGAAGACGUGAAGAAGAGAUGCUGCGCCAGAGAGAACAGGAGGAAUUGAGAAGACAGCAGGAAGGAGGAUUCAAGUCAAAUUUCAUGGAUAAUAUCAUAAAUGUAACAAUUCCAUCUGAGCAACAUACCAUGCCAUCAUCAAGAGCUUAUCAGAGUUUGAUCCAUUGUGACUUUAUUUCUGUGACAUCGGUAUUACGGGAUCCUCUAAAAUUGGAAAUGGUUAGGAUGCUGAAGUGCAGUUGAUGUCCUUCACCCAUGCUGUCUCAGGAAUAUAGCAGAGAAGAAGGUUGCAUCCUUCCUUCCAUUUCAGGUAACUUUCUUCCUCCACCCCCACCUUUUUGGGUAACCAGAUUCAUGUUGCCUUAUUUCUGACUGUUGUACUUUACACUAGAGAGGAAAGGGAGGUUACAAGGGAUUCUCAAGUUCUGUUUGCAUGCUUGAAGGUAACUUUCUUUCCUUGCUUGCUAAUGAGGAGGAGUUUCCUGCUGGAUUAUGCUGUGAGAACAUCCACUAGAAUGGCUUUGAGAGGAGCAGAUACCGUAUGGGUGGUAAUCUGGACAAAUGAUUGUCUUUUCUAGGACCUAAGCAUUCCCUCAGGGAACUUGCUUGGAGAGAAACGUGAAUGUUUUUGAUACGGUUGUCUUCCUUUUCUGUUUUGGCAUAAAUACUAGGUUGGCAAACUAGAAUUUAUUACUGUGAAUUUAUUAUCUGUAAAGCAUUGUCAGCUGCCAUGUAACCUGCAGUUGCUGGGUUACAUCCAGUGGUGGCUUUGCCUUAGUUAGCAGGAAGCACUUCUGCACGUGCAAAUCAGGGCACCCAAUUUUUGUACAAUUUCCCCUCCAAAAAGCUGGUCCUGAGGAUUGGGGGACCCUCCAGAACAGAAUGGAAUAUGGCAUGGGGGGCUGCAGUAGCUAAGGGAGACUGGCAAGGAUCUGGUGUCUAGAUUUGCAGCAACCACUUCUAUAUGAGCAAAGGCAAAGCCAUCAUAGCGUUUGAACCACUACUGCUGAGCUUGGUACACAAGAGGAAGUGCUACUGGUUUGUGUUUUUCCUGUUGCCCAAUGACUGGAUGCUGAAUGUAUUUUGGGACCAUUGCAGUAUGGCAAGCAGCAGGCAAGCAACUCCUGUGCCAGGGUAGUCCAGAAAACAAGAGGAAGAAUCCUCUGAGGAAGGAAGCAGAAUAGAACAUGCAGAACAACAUGCAAGCUUGUUUUACUGCAUUCUGGCCAUGGAUUUUUCAUUUUCAUACAAACUUUACAUUGUAGAUUGUCUGUUCUUAAAUGUAUUAAGUGAUUACCAUUUUUUUCAGAAUGGGGGAAGCCUCGGUUCCCAAUCAAGUGCAACUGGAUCGUUUGAGAGACUGAGCUCUUGAUGAUGUUAGUAUUAAAAAUAUUUAUAAAAUACUUAAAAUGGAAAUAUCUCAAAGCGGUGUACAAGAGAAUAAAAGACAAUACCAACAACCAGAAUAACACAGCAUAAAAUACAAUUCAUAGUAACCAGUAUUCAAUUCAAUUCAAUUCUUUAUUAUACAGUCAUAGACCCAUUUUAAAACAAAAUACAAAAACAGAAUACAAUAAAAUAUUUUAAAAGGAUUUAAAUUUUUCAGAUUUAUCAUGAACCAGUCUUUUACGUGUAGAUUGAGCUAUAAACAAAAAUUUUGCAACUUGUUCAGUUUUAUCUUUAAGAUUAUCUGAUAGAAGAUAUUUUAUUUUCCAUUCUAUAGAUCUACCAGGAAAGCCAUCGAUAAGAGGCACAAUAAUUUUUUUUCUUGCCUCCAGAUAUAAUUCACACUCCAAAAGCACAUGUCCAACUGUUUCUGGCAACUUCGCCUUACAAAUACAGUAACGGUUUUCCAGAGAAAUGCCAUUGAAGCGACCUGACAGGAGUGCAGAAGGUAAACAGUUGAAUCUGGCCCGAGAAAACAAAAAUCUAUAAUGUGGGAGACUCAACUCUUCUAUAUAUAAUGCGUGAUAGGGAGAGCGAAAACUUAAGCCAAAGUAAAGGGGAGAGCAAGAGGAACGUGCCUUAGACGUUAAGUAUUGGCAAUCUAAAUCCUUUAUCUGCUGGUCUAAAUUUUGUUUGGCUACCCUGAAAUCCCAGGUGACCAUGAGUUCUUUAGACAGGCCUAAGUAGUUUAAUUUUUCAUCAAAUAUUUUGGACCAAUGGCUUUUGAAAGGAUCUUUCCAUAUUAGAUGGAGAUAACCCAGGGAAGGUUCUGAAUAAGCCAUCUUGGACCAAAAUCUAAAGGCUUGCAGCCAUGCUGUGCACUCAACUGAGGAAAUUCCAGCCUCAAGGUAGAGUCCUGCUGAAGAGGCACAACGAGGUAAACCAAAAAUGGCCCUCAAAAAGCUUGAGAGUACCGAUUCAACUUUUGCGUUAAAAAUUUCUAUCCAAAUCGGGAAGCCAUAGAGAAGUUGAGGUAGUAACUUAACUUUAAGGAUUUUUAAUGCAGCAGGAAUGUAUCUACCACCCUUGGUGUAGAAAAAUCUAAUAAUAGCUUUUGAGGUAUUUUGCGCUGCCAGAAUUAUAGUCCUGAUAUGGGAAGUCCAAGAAAGAGAAGAACAGAAAGUGAUUCCAAGAUAUUUAAAUUUCUUUACUUGUUCGAUUUUUUGGCCUUUAAAUUUCCAAUUUAAUUUCUGAGACCUAUGAGAGAAAACCAUAAUCUUAGAUUUUGUAAAAUUUAUGGUAAGGAGAAUAAAAGACAAUACCAACAACCAGAAUAACACAGCAUAAAAUACAAUUCAUAGUAACCAGUAAAGUAUUUUAUUUUUAUUUAAGAAAUGUAUAUACCACUCUUUGUGAAAAGGCUACAGGGCAGUUUACAACAUAACAGAAACGUCAAAAGAUAAAACAAAAUGCAUGGCAAACGGUUCUACAAGGUAGCUUUUGUUCAGGGUUCCAACCAGCCUGGAACAGGAGCUUUGUAGUACUCUUCAAGCCUCGGGGGAGGUUGGGAAGGAAAAAAUCUCACUUUUUUUUGUUUCUUGCCACUCCUGAAGUCUUCCUGAUGGCUCAGGUUUGGGGCCUGGCUACUAGUCUUGAAACUUUGUUUCAUUACUUUAUGUGGGGAAUAGUUUUGGAUAGGAAAAGACUUUUUUUUUUCUUCCUCAAACAGGCACUUACUUGUUGAGGGUGUUUUUUUUAAUUACAUGGAUUACAUCCCUCUGUCCUACCCCUUACUCACCAUAAGCUGGAGGGACUUGAGUAGGCAGACUUGUCUCCUCUCUUGAAGUAUAUAGUAUUUAUUUUUUAUUUAUUUAACAAAAUGUAUAUACCGCUUGAAUGUAAAGAUCUGUUUACAAAACAGUUGAAAUUAUUAAUAAAACAGUUAAAAACUAAUUAAAACAUUUUUAAACAAUUAAAACAGCUACUAACUGUCGUGGAAUUACGACUGAGUUCUUUUUGAGGAGACUUAAUAAUGAAGCCAAAGCCUGUUUUAAGGUUGUUUAUUUAGCUAAGCACUUAGCCAGAGUAGAGACUCAACUCUGUUCCUCAAAAUGGUGGUUAGUUACAGACAGUUAUAUGCCUUUACCUCCGUCACAAUCAUGGCAACAGUUACAUUGCAUUAUUCUAUGUUACAAUGCUACAGUGAUCCGCUGCCCCGUUCCAUCCGUUCUCCCUCCAUUCCUGCAAUAUCAGUGUCCUUGGCACAUUUUCACUACAACAGCACUAUUCUCUAUUGUCUACGUGACCCCCUGUCUAGGGAAAAUGGCAGUCAGACUUGUUCAGUAUUGAUCGAAAUCCACCUCACUCCCCCCCUAUGGGACUCCUUUCGAGUCCCAUCCCAAUUUGCAUGAUAGAUAACACCUUCUCUUUCUCCUCCACCCGUUGUCUAUCAAAUUCCAAGUACAUUUGUUUCACUUCAGCCGGUGUUAACAUUUGGGUGGUCUUUUGCAUGGUACUCUUUAAACAAAACAAUACACAAUUAACCAAGAUAUACAUGGCAAAGAGGAACAACAUACCCAACAAUAGUCCUAAGAGGAUUGAUUUUAUCCAGCCUCUUAGGCCACUGAACCAAUCCCCCGGACUCCAUUGCCACCCAGAGGUCUUAACCUCAUGCACCUUAGAUCCUAAUAGGUGAAUAUUCUCAAUAGAUCCAGUGAUAUUUACAGAGCUGUCAACAAUGUAGGUGCAGCAUUCUGGGCCAAUAAGACCUCAGACUCUGCCUUGCGAUGUCAAAAGAUAGUCCAACGUUACGUGGUUUUGUAAGACAAACUGUCGGACUUGUUUAAGUUCAGUGUUAAUCAUAGAAAGGGCAUCAGCAGUUUCAUUCGUGAAGUUCUCCAGCAGAGUACAAAUUCUUAAGAUAUCUAAAUGGUUUGCCCCUGCCCCAUAAAAGGGGAAGAUACCUCGUAGCCAGGACUCACCUGGAGCUUUAAGAUCUUUAUAAGCUUCCAGGAUUUUAUGACUUGGGGCUACCCUUCAAUAAUUUCAUAUCAGACCCUUAGGAAAGGUGUCCACAAUCCUGAUUCCAGGGGCUAGAAGUCCAAUAUAACAAGUUCCUUUUGCGUUAAUGGGUAAUUUCUUCCAAUCCUUAUAUCCACAGAUCCACCAAUAACUAUGUGUUGUUUCCAUUAAGGGAGGAAGGAUGUGAGCAAAUCUAUCUUGUCUCACCCCUUCCUCGCCAUACAUAAGCAUGGCUAUGGUGGCUUCUUCUUGAGUACAGGUUUCAUUGUAAUAUGAGAGCCACUGGUGCCCGAGAGCCAUACACAAUGGUUCCAUUACCCUCCGCCUGUUCCUCAUAAUUGGCCCAGUGGAGUUACUGAGACUCCAUUUACCUUUGGCUCGAUGAAAGACCCAUUCACAUUGGCUGCUACCAAUGAAUGUUUCUCCCAUGAACUUUAAACAAAGUUCACCUUUUGUCCAUCCGGACAGGGCUACAUACUGAGUAGUAUCGAGACUUUUCAGAGACUCAUCAUUCAUCUGAGAUAAGACCAGUUGCAUUCAGAGGUAUUCCUACCAGUGGGAUAUGCGUGGCCUUUGACUCAGUGGACAGGGGGCUCCUAUGGGAAAAACUGGCCAAUUCAAAUAUAGAUAAAAGAUUAUACUGGCUGAUUAGGGCUCUCUAUCAAUCCAACGUAGCCCAGGUUCGCCAAUAUAGCACGGGCUCCUUGUCAUCAAAAAUUCCAGUCCUAAGGGGGGUUAAACAAGGCUGUCUACUGGCUCCUUUUCUUUUUACUUUUUUCAUAAAUGAUCUUGUAGAUACACUUACUUCACCUGCCUUUCCCCCCCCUCUAUUGGUGACAGAAAGGUUAAUGUUCUCCUGUAUGCUGAUGACGUGGUACUUUGCUCUCAAACAAAAAUUGGGCUCAGACGCAUGAUUCACAAAUUGAAAGAGUAUUGUGAUGCCCAAAAUCUAACUAUCAACCAGUCUAAAUCAAAAGUUAUGAUCUGUGGGAAAUUUAUGAAAGUUAAAAAUAGAUGGCCUUUAAACGGGGUUACUCUCGAACAAGUUCCUACCUUUAAAUAUCUGGGUGUACACUUAUCCAAUAGAUUAUCCUGGACUGCACAAAUCAAAGCAGCGGCUCUAGUUGGGUCCCGAGCUCUAGGUUCAGCUAAAAAGUUCUUUUUCACACGGGGGGGCCAGCUUAUUCCCCCGCUGAUUAAAAUAUUUAAAGCAAAAAUACUCCCCAAAAUCCUAUAUGGAGUCGAACUUUGGGGAAAUAUGGCCAGAACUAAACUUGAAUCUAUUCAGAACAUUUUUUUGAGACAAUUGCUGGGCCUCCCACAGGGGACCCCGGCAGCCCAUCUCAGAACAGAAGUGGGUCUGCCUUCAAUAACAGCACACAUAGAUCUAGCGUUACUAAGAUACUGGCUUCGUCUUAAUGACAUGGACGGCGCCUCUUUGGCCAAGCAGUGCUGGCAAGAACAAACACAGUCUGUCGGAGCUGCCACAGAGUGGCUGUCUAUUUUUUCUAAAUACGACCUCUCCCCUGCUAAGCUAGUGGAGCUCAGUAACACUGCUCUUCGCAACUGGAUUUUUAACCAUGAUGCAGCUCAGGAUCGAGCAUCUAUUGAGUUGGCCUUCUUUUCCAGAUGGUAUCCUACCAUCAAACUCAACCACUACAUGUCAAAUUAUUUAAUAGCCAUAGAUAGACCCUUCAUUAGAAGAGCCUUUACGGCUCUCCGCUUUCAAACCAUGCCUACAGCCUAUCUUGAGGGACGGUUUCGGGGUAUUCCAGUAACCCAGCGCCAAUGUAUAUACGGCUGCAAGGACAUUGAAGGGAUCAUUCAUUAUUUACUUUACUGUCCACUCUUUGACGACCCUAGACAGAAAUUUCUUUCUCCCAUUUUAAAUCUCUUAAGACCUUGUUCUGACAGAGAAAUGAUAUAUGCGCUUUUAUCUGAUGAUUCCAACUUUGUGACCGUUGCGUCUGCUAAUUUUGCAGUUGCAGCUCUCAAACUGAGAGAGUCCUUUGCCGAAAAGACAAAUGCCCAGCCAAGUUCUAUAUGAAUUGUCAUGCCAUGAUUUGUAAAUUUUAUAUAUGUUUUUACCUUGUAUUUUAUUCUUGUUUGUAUCUUGCACAUGGCCUAUGGCUAAUUCUGCAAUAAAGUACCUACUACCAGUGGGAUACCUUCCUUUUCAUAAGUUGGGGUAUGCAUACAGAUCCAGCAAGUACUCUUGUUCAUCCCUCUAGCGAGAUUGACCAUUAGCCU